UCAGCUCGUGUCGUGAGAUGUUGGGUUAAGUCCCGCAACGAGCGCAACCCUUGUCAUUAGUUGCUACAUUCAGUUGGGCACUCUAAUGAGACUGCCGGUGACAAACCGGAGGAAGGUGGGGAUGACGUCAAGUCCUCAUGGCCCUUAUAGGUAGGGCUACACACGUCAUACAAUGGAUGGUACAAAGGGUCGCCAACCCGCGAGGGGGAGCCAAUCCCAUAAAACCAUUCGUAAUCCGGAUCGCAGUCUGCAACUCGACUGCGUGAAGUCGGAAUCGCUAGUAAUCGUGGAUCAGAAUGUCACGGUGAAUACGUUCCCGGGUCUU
rnacentral:rRNA from 1 species